rnacentral:rRNA from 1 species
AUUGCCUCAGUAACGGCGAGUGAAGCGGCAACAGCUCAAAUUUGAAAUCUGGCUUCGGGCCCGAGUUGUAAUUUGCAGAGGAUGCUUUUGGCGCGGUGCCUUCCGAGUUCCCUGGAACGGGACGCCACAGAGGGUGAGAGCCCCGUCUGGUUGGACACCAAGCCUAUGUAAAGCUCCUUCGACGAGUCGAGUAGUUUGGGAAUGCUGCUCUAAAUGGGAGGUACAUGUCUUCUAAAGCUAAAUACCGGCCAGAGACCGAUAGCGCACAAGUAGAGUGAUCGAAAGAUGAAAAGCACUUUGGAAAGAGAGUUAAACAGCACGUGAAAUUGUUAAAAGGGAAGCGUUUAUGACCAGACGUGGGCCGGUUAAUCAUCCAGCGUUUUCGCUGGUGCACUUUGCCGGUCCAGGCCAGCAUCAGUUCGCUGCGGGGGAUAAAGGCGUCGGGAAUGUGGCUCCUCGGAGUGUUAUAGCCCUUCGCGCAAUACCCUGUGGUGGACUGAGGUUCGCGCACUGCAAGGAUGCUGGCGUAAUGGUCAUCAACGACCCGUCUUGAAACACGGACCAAGGAGUCGUCUUCGUAUGCGAGUGUUCGGGUGUAAAACCCCUACGCGAAAUGAAAGUGAACGCAGGUGAGAGCUUCGGCGCAUCAUCGACCGAUCCUGAUGUUCUCGGAUGGAUUUGAGUAAGAGCAUACGGGGCCGGACCCGAAAGAAGGUGAACUAUGCCUGUAUAGGGUGAAGCCAGAGGAAACUCUGGUGGAGGCUCGCAGCGGUUCUGACGUGCAAAUCGAUCGUCAAAUAUGGGCAUGGGGGCGAAAGACUAAU